UGGAAACCCCGGUGCUGUCCCCUCA
rnacentral:piRNA from 1 species